UGAAGACAAAGAUGUGGCAGUGCUUAGAGGAGCUGCCUAUGAGAAACACUGAGAUGCUUCUGCAGGCUGGUGUGCUGGGCUUGGAGAAAAUGGUCAGGCUGAGCAGCUGUCCUGUCUGAGAAGGGGCUGAUCUGUCGUGAUCAAGGGUUGCUCUAUGCAGGGGCAGCAGCCCUUUGGCAAGGAUUUCCCAAGCUACCAGACGUCCAGAAGUCUGGUGAACAGCCCAAACUGAAAGAAGGCAAGUUACUACUAAAGGCAAAACGGGGAGAGGUGUAAGGAGAGGUUUCUGAUGUUUACUGCUAAUUCAGGUAUGCUGCAGUGAGAAAGAAUUCUGCAUUUGAGAGACAAUUAUACUAAAAUGGGGAGAGAUGUUAACUGUUAAUCAUUCCACCUUCCCAAGAGCUUUUGAGCUGUUCAAGAUCCACAGCACACAUUUGGCAAGGCAGAUGUGGUUCUAAAUCACUUGUGCAAUCUCUGAAUUUUGGAAAAAGAGACCACUUUUGCAGUAUGAAGCCAUCUCUCUCCAGAGGACUGUGUGUGAUGGCUUUUCUGAAUUUGAUACUUCUGAAGGAGGAGGAAUAGGAAAAACAUUCCCUGAUACCUGAUCAUGAGAGUAGGGGGUUCUAGGUAUGGGAGAGGACAGGUAUCUGUGGAUGCCAGAGGAUAAUCCAGUUUGAGGAUAAGUGAAAAACU